rnacentral:rRNA from 1 species
GAUGAACGCUGGCGGCGUGCCUAAUACAUGCAAGUCGAGCGAACGGACGAGAAGCUUGCUUUUCUGAUGUUAGCGGCGGACGGGUGAGUAACACGUGGAUAACCUACCUAUAAGACUGGGAUAACUUCGGGAAACCGGAGCUAAUAUCGGAUAAUAUUUUGAACCGCAUGGUUCAAAAGUGAAAGACGGUCUUGCUGUCACUUAUAGAUGGAUCCGCGCUGCAUUAGCUAGUUGGUAAGGUAACGGCUUACCAAGGCAACAAUGCAUAGCCGACCUGAGAGGGUGAUCGGCCACACUGGAACUGAGACACGGUCCAGACUCCUACGGGAGGCAGCAGUAGGGAAUCUUCCGCAAUGGGCGAAAGCCUGACGGAGCAACGCCGCGUGAGUGAUGAAGGUCUUCGGAUCGUAAAACUCUGUUAUUAGGGAAGAACAUAUGUGUAAGUAACUGUGCACAUCUUGACGGUACCUAAUCAGAAAGCCACGGCUAACUACGUG